CAGCAGUGCUCCAGUCUUUGUUGCUGCGUUAUGAAUGCACUGCUCCUCCUGACACAUUGCAGGAUUCAGGCUGGGAGCAGGUAUGGCAUCCCCUGACUUGACCACGUGUAACUUGAUGCUAGAAAUACACCACGUCCUCCCUCCCUGCAUGGCAAGAGAUGGCUCUCUUCUCCUGCAAAGGCAGCCAAAGUAACUUCUGUGUGCUGACUAGAGAGAGAAAACUUGGUGUCACUCCUUGCAAGUCCUGUGGCAGCCAGAUAUUGUGUUAGCCACUCACAGGUAGCAUGUCUUUGGUAUCAGGGUGUAAGAGAAUGAACUCUGUAGGAGCGCUGCUGUCAUAGGCCACCAAGGGCCCGGGAUGCCUGGCUGAAAUUGGAUGUUGCAGAUACCUUGGUGUCACUGGAAUCCAUGGAGCUGACACAGUCCUCUGAUGGCUGGAUUUCUGCUUGCUAAGGGUAUUCCUUCUGGUUUCUUGGCUUUUCAGGUGAUUUUUGCUUUGCUUUCCUUGGCUUUUUAGUACUUCCUCCUUCUGUUAUUGCUCCUGGCUUUGUUUUGCUUUGCUCUUUGGUUUUUCUUUUGUACCUUUGCCUUGCAUUGCUCGAGAAUUUUGGUUUCUUCCUUCUCUUCAGUGCUAAGCAUUGGUGAGUGUUUUUCUCUUUGUACUGUGUUUGGCUUCUUUGGUUUGCCACGAUAUACACGAGUAAAGCAAAUGAAUGGAAUGCAGUAUGGUGACUUGUUUGAAUUGCUUUGUCUUCCUCGUUUGGUUGUUUUUCCCCUGUUGCUUUUCAGUAGUGCGCCUUUUGCUUUGCUUUCCAUUGUCUUUGUGUCUGGUUGGUUUUUUUUGGUUCUUUGUUCUCGUUACCUGUUCCUUUCUUUGCAUUAGCUUCUUCCUCCCAGAGGAGAGCAUUCCUUGCCUUUUCAGAGGAUGGUUCUUGGCUUUGCUUGGAGUUUCUCCCUUGCUCUUCAUUCUUGGUUGCCUUACCUGGCUUUGCCUUCCUUGUCCCCUUGCCCCGGCCUUGCUCUUCCUUUGCCUUCACUUACCUGAUGUGCUCUCUCCCUUGAUUGUUCUCUUCUGUCUGUUCCUUUCUGGCUUCUUGAACUGCAGCCUCCUCUCUGGGCUUUCCUGCCGUGCUUGAUGCAUUUGCAGCUCCUUGGAGUUUCCCAGGUGGGUCCACGCCUCCUGGGCCUCCUUGCCUCUUCCCUUGUGGUGCUCUUGUGGCUUUUUCUCCAGCUGGCUGGAUCCAUGCGGGCCUAUUGCCCCAUUUUCUCGGCAUUGGUGUAUGUGGAUUGUUCUCUGUCAUCUUCCCAGGCCUAGAUGCUGAGCUUUUGCCUCUUCCAGACUCUGUUGUCAUCUUUGCUUUUCCGUGAGAGUGUAUUCUGUUCUGUUAUCGUUGGUUGCUUGUUUUUGAAUGUGGUGUUUGUUGUUGUUUCAUUUAUUGUUAUGGGCUUUCUUUGAUGUGCGUGGGGUUUUUUGUUCUUUUUUUCAGUUUGGUGCUCUUUUUUUUUCUUUGCUGUUCCUUUCUUUGCACUGUAUUUUUUUCCUAGCAGCGUUUCUAUUCCUUUCUCUUCUACUAGAAAUUGUAGCUCCUAACACUAAUCCAAAUGUAUAAACCACAAGUCUGAACUCUCAAUCACACAGGUGUAUGGGAACUGUAUAAUCACAGCCUGACCCUCUGUUUCACCACCUGAGGCGAGUGCUGAGUCAGCUGCAGGGGCACAGGUGAUGGCAGUUUCACCUGAGUGACCGGAAGGGGUGGACCCUGGCUGCAGCCCUGCUAGACCCCAUGUAAGGGCUGACUCCCAAGGAGGAAGGAUCUCUACCUGGAGGUCACCCUUAGUGGAGCCCUUCUGCGCGCCCAGGAUACGGGAGCUGCUUUGGCAUGGAGGAUUUUCUGGAGUUGCUGCCAGUCGUUGCUGGAAAAGAAGCGUGACUUGUGGGCUCUGAGGAGGGGAUUUCGUGUUUUCAUGGCGUACGAAUGCAUUCCCUUUUCUGUGGAAGUGACCAACCAUCUGCACAGGACGCACUGCGGUUUGGCAGCCAUCCCACACUGCCAGUCUUGGCCAGAGGAACACAGACAGCGCCGACAACUGGCAUGCCAGGGGUGGAUGCUGGGAAAAACACAAGGGCUGUGCUUCAGGAGUUUCUGCAGGUGCACUUCACCCUAGUGAUCGCAGUGCUUGUAACUGUGCUGCUGUCUGGGCUGGUGAUGACCUGUAUUGCUGUGUCGUGGAUGUGGCACAAAUAUCCAGUGUGCAAGAGGGCAGAGACAGCUCCAGGACAAGCUCAUCCUGAGAGUGACCGGGAGAGAGGCCAAUCUGGAGGUGAAGGCAGAGCGGAGCUGGGAGAGGCAACAGAAGAUGCCGUAGUUGCCCAAGAAAAAAAGAAUGUGUCCAGCGGAUCCAGCCCGUUCCCCUCCUCCUUUGAAGCAGAGUUUGAACAGCUGUGCAGCAAAAUCAGCACAGACCCUUCCCCUUUGGCCCACGUGUCCCAGCAGCUCUCCCACGGACGGCGUCUCUUCCCCAGAUGCCCGCGGUUCUCGGGGUUCCCCAUAGCCAUCUAGUGCCCCGGUUACCUGUGUCAGCAGGGCUGGGGUCCCCUGGAAGACCCCGCUUUAAAUCCCCCGUUUAACCCGAAAAUCACGCAUGUUCUCUGCAAGAAAUCCCUCAUUUAAAUGAAAAUCAAGCAUUGUCUCUGCAAGAAAUCCCUCAUUUAAAUGAAAAUCAAGCAUUUUCUCUGCAAAAAUACACAAUUUAACCCAAG
ensembl:lncRNA